UGUGGGGCUCGAACCCAGGACCUGGGAUCAUGACCUGAGCCGAAGGCAGCAGCUCAACCCACUGAGCCACCCAGGCGCCCCAGCAUACAAGUUUAUUAAAAAUCUUUUGCUGCCUGCCAGAUACUGUGCUAUAUACCAGAAACACAAAAGUGACCACGUGACAACCACUGUUUCUAUUCACCUUGCAUUAUGAGGAUAGAGACAGCAUAGUCUAUGGACAGUGCCAACAGCAGGGCCCCCUUCCUGUCCUCCAGCUAAGGGAAUAACACUGCCUAGCACAGGGCCUGACAUACAGUCAAGUACUAAAUAAAUAAUUAUUGGCCAAAAUGGGCUCAAUGAAAAGAAUGAAUAAAUGUUAAGGUAGAGUAAGUACAGAGUGCUGUGGAAAAUACAUCAAAGGAGAAACUAGACUAGUUCGAGGGGAUGGACUGUAGAAAUUGUUAGUUACACUGAGAAUGAGUCAAAGAACAUAAUGUUGCAGAGGAAAGUCCACGCUGGCGGUGUUCGACCUGGUUCAAGUCCUAGCAGUGCCGUCAAGAGCUGGGCCAUUCCAGCUAUGUCAUAUCUUACUCCCUCCCUCUGUAAAACACUGGUGAUGGCUUUGGGAGACUAAAUGAGAUAUUAUUUAUCUGUAAGCCUCUGUCACAAAGAAGAACAUCAAUACAGCUAUUGGAGGAGUAACGGAGACCAGAACUGCAGUGUUCAAGCAAUGAGUCCCUAAGUCGUGAGGUUAAGAGCACAAACGUUUGAGGGAUGGAUGGCAAUGACGAGCUUCAAGUUCACGGUGGCCGCUAGGGGAGGUGUUACAGAACUUCUCAGCUUCUAAGCCCAGACAAUGCAGGGGAAGGGCAGGUAGCUUAUGGGAUUUGUCUUCCUCUUCCAAUCCAUCCCAGAAGGCUUUCAUAUUCACAUUUUAACUAUAGACCCAUGUGGGCCCUGCCUUUUGCUGUUCACAGUGGGGUAUAAACCAUUUCAGAUAAUUAAUAAUCUGAGGAUAUUGUGAUGUAUGGAAACUCGAUGCAGAUUAUAUAUGUGUUAGUGUUUAUAUACAUAUGCAUAGAAAUACAUGAUAAAAAUAUAACCUUUUCCCCCAUAAGUUCUUAUAAAAAUUAGCUUCUGUUGCUUUUAUCUUAAAUCUCCACGAAUAUUCCCGACCCCUUCCUUCAGUUCUUCCUUCCCCGCAUGUCCAUUAGGAACUUUCCCACUACGUUCGUGUAGUUAGAUCAGUACACACACACACACACACACACACACACACACUCGCGCGCGCGCAUGCAUAUAUCCACACACCUGUUCUCUACUGGCUUCAGCUUUUUUUUUUAGGUGAGCUUUGGGAAAUGCCCUGAGUUGAACUGGAUUGUCAGCUCUGUUAAUAGGGGAGCGUUAGAGAGAGGAAGAUGUGAGCCACUGACUUUUGGGUUUUCAGUCCCUAACACGAGCUGCAAUUCUAAUGACAUGGCAAAACCAAAAAAUGUCAAACCAGAGAGUGCAGGAGACCAAAGAAAGGGGAUGGCGGGGGCCAAAGAUGAAGGAAGGUACUGGGUAUAAAAACAUUUUAGACGUAAAAAUUGGGGGAGGGGAGAACGAGAGGUGUUUCCGAUGAUGGUGGGGGAGGGAAAGCAAUUGGUGGGGGCUUUGAAAUGGUGCCAGGAACCAAGAGCCAGGGGCAGUGGCAGAGGGGAAGGCCAGGUAGGACAAUUAAAACGGAAAUCUGGCUCCUUACAGCGCAGCAUGAAACAGGGCUACAGAAUUUGCUGCAGUGGGAGGUGGGGCCAGUCUGGCACAGUCUGUGGGUUUGAAAGGAGCUGGGCGGGUUGGGGAAUGCCAGUCAGCCUUUGUAGUUCUGAGCUCAGAGAGGGGGUGACGAAUACUGGGCUUCAGGUCAGAAGCCUGGCUUGGGUGGCUUUUGGAGAAAAUUUCCCUCUGCUCCCAAACUCUUAAAAUCUGCUCAUCACACCACUGGCCUCCAAUCACAGCAUAAACACGUGUCCUGGAGAUGGCCCUCCAGCAGAGGUUUCGGCCGUGGUACCUGUUGGCUGACUGAUGGGAUCCUUCUCCUCCCCUACUCCCUAGACAUCCUAACCGGGGCUGAAUACAAUAUUUUUGCAUAUUUCCCUUUACCCUUCCCACAUGCUUCCCAUCUCCCAGACUCCUAGGGUUAAUCCCCAGGACAACCUUGCUUUGAAAGAAAAAAUGUGGUGAGCCUCCUAGAAGAUUUGGAUCUCAGAAGCCUCUGUCUGUCCUGCUUCAGCCGGACACCAGACAGCGGCUCAAGGAGAUGGACAUUGACAGAGAAAGAAGCAGUAAGUUUCUGUUGUUGUUUGUUUUCGAGGCAUAGUUGCUCUCCAGAAUUAAGGCCCCUAAAGGCAUGAGGCUUUCUUUUCUUUAUUUUUCGCCUUUCCUCUUCGUUUCUUUUUCUUUUCUUUCUUUCUCAGCAGAAAUAAAUACUAUCCCGUUCCCAUCCUGGGGCUGAUUCAGAAAAGCAAUUGAAUUAGAAAGCUUUUCUUCAUUGAUGUUCGUAUCUGGGGUUAAAAAUAUCUGAAGUUGAUUUGUGCGUGCCUAUUCUCAACACUGUAAUAUUUUAAAAUGUAUCUGCAUUUGUUAAAGUAAUUUGUACUGAUUGUUCUUCUCCAGAAUAAAUACUAUCUAUCUGGCUGAUUGAUUGUAAUUAUGAUGAAUUUGUCCCAGCACUUGCAUGGAUGUCUUCUUUGAGGAUUUUUGUGCAUAUUUGCUGCUCAUCAAAGGAAAGGCUAGAAGGACUUUGGAAGGAGGGUGUGGUCGGGCUGAUUCAGCUUCCUUCCCGGCCCAUCCCUGACUCCUUCCCUCUGCUCCUCCCUCUCCCCAGCUCCUACCCUGGCUCCUCAGAUCCCUCCUGAGCCAGCUGUCGAUGAAAUGGCAUUUACCUUUCGUUUCUUGUAUCACCUGUGUUAGACUCGGGCAGGUAGGAGACCACUACCCACAAUCAAAUUCAUUACAUUUGUAAUCUCAGCAUUUUUUCAGACCAAGACGGACUGUUGCUGCCACUCCUUAAGCUUCUCUCAUCGUGGGAUUAUUAGCCAAGAUAGUAAUAACAGUAGUAAUACUGUAUUUAGAAACUCUCUAGCACAUUUGAUCUCUGAGAGUCGUACAGAUGUUAACUAAUUAAUCCGCGCAAGAGAGGUAAAUAUUAUUAACCAUGAUGGAAUAUACCUAUGUAUAUGCUAAGGACAGCAAAAUAGUUCACUUAUUUAUCACGGUUCACUUGCUAUAGUCACUGGUAUUUUUAAAACACCCAUCAUAGAUACAAUAAUUAGAGAUGUGCUUUUGUUAACAAAACCACUACCCACUUCUAGCGUACCCUUGGGUACUAAGUAAUUACCCACUUUGUGUGGUUAUCUAGCUCACUAAUUACCCACAGAAAUUGGGGUCAGGUGUUAACUGCUUGAAAUAAGUAUCCUCCAAAGACAUCGCUGAGUUGUAUAGAGAAAUGAUGUGUUCAGAGCAAAACUUUCAUAACUCAUAUAUUUGUAUAUCUUUGUAAGCGGAGCGAAUACCGACCGGGGCAGAUCUGCUCAGCACGUGAAAAUCAUGCUGAACUGUUGUGGCGAUGGUAGGGAGGUUUUGGAGAGUCUGGGGAAAUUUCAUCCUCUGUUUACCUUUCCUUUCUGAAGAUGAGUGUAAGGACAGGGGUCCCAUAAUCUGCCCUUUCAUAUGCAAGCACACUAAGACAAUUGGUGAGUCUGGUUAGGAAUGAUUCAUUUUGGCGGUACAGGGAGGCACCCAGUGAGUCAAAGAUUUUUUUUUUUUUGACAGCUCCACCCAUUAUGAGUAUACUAGCAUGUUUCUUUUUUUCUCAUCAGUCUAGUGCAAACACACUAUUAGCCAAAUCUGAAAAAGAUUCUAACCCAGUCCACAAGCCUGCCAACCAUCUCUUUCUCCUUCCCAAUAAUGACCAAAAAAAAAAAAAAAAAGAAGAAGAAAGAAAGAAAGAAAGUAAAAAGAAAAGUAUUAAAGGGAAUCCAACACUAUGCUUAUAAGUCUCUUUUUGCCUGGAUAUCUUCUCCCGUCCCCUCUCCUGCCUUCCUCUUCCCUCCCCUCCCGUCCCCUCCUCUCCUCUCUUCUCCUUUCCCUUCUUCCUCUCUCUGUGUCUCCUCAUUUGUGUUUUUCCUUCUCCUUUUCCUUGGCCUCCAGCUGUGCUUCUGCAGGUCUCAGAGUGAGAGACAAAGCACAGUGUCUGAACUGAGCACAAAGAAGCUACCUUUAAAAAACAUCGACUUAGAGGAAACCUGCAUCCUCAGAUGCCUCCCUCCCUUUCUUGCUAUUUACAGAACUCAGCCUUACACUUCACACAGGCCCGUUGUCUGCGUGAUUCUAGCCAGGAAAAUCGGGUGAAGAUGGCCAUAUACCCACUGUGUGUAUAGAUAGGUAGAGACCCCAAUUAUCAGGAGCUACCUGUUUUCCGGGAUCAUCGUGUAGCCGAGCUUUGAAAACACACGCCAACAGACAUGAUGGGAGAGGCUCCCCUGUUCAAGCCAGGAUGUCUUUCAUUUUUAUCUCGUGCCACUUUUUUUUGUCAUCGGAAUGAUUACUUAUCGUUAUCAAGGGGCUUUAGGCUGAUCAAUGGAGUGUGUAUGUAUCUGAUGGACAUUUGAAGAGAAACCCUUCAGAAAGAAGGAAAAUGUCUGCAGUGGAAGUAGAGGGUUAGUAUGAGCUACAGUGACUGAUGAGUUCAUUUCAAAAUCCACGGGCACGUAAGUGGUAAAUUAGUACGUACAGCAAACAGAGUCAGCAAGCAAAGCCUCCCGUUGAAAGGAAAGAGACUUCAAGCAUUGUAGUCAUCUCACGCCCGAAGAAAGUGCGUAUUUUAAAUAUAGAUUCGAAUCCCUGCUCUUUUAUCCCUCUACAUGCCGAUUUCAAAGAAGUAUUUGGGCACUGUUGACUUUCCGUCUGUGAAGAAAACCCACCAAGAUGCAGGAAACGUACACAUGCACUCCAACAUGCUUAGGUGUUUCAGAUGCUCGUGGGAUACGGAACAAUUAGGCAGAGAACUGCACUGUGGUCUCUCUUCGUCACUCCUUCCUCUCCUCCCCCCCCUUUUUUUCCCUCCCUUCUAGAAAGCGUGAUACCUGAUCUCUGGGUCUAGCAGGCUGAGGAUUUUUCUGUAUUUGUAUAAUACAAUGUCUGGCCUUCCCCCUGACCUGCUGGUGUAUUUUUGGUCUCAUUAGUAGUCAGAAAGAUGCUUUCGUGCAUCCAGGGCUGCAAGUCAGGGUGAGACAUACAACGGUGAGAGGGAGUGAGCGCGAGAGGAUAUUAGAAGGGAGGCUUGUCUCCAAGAUAUGGAAGGAAGUGGGAAAUGACAGGACGGCAAGCUUUGUAUGGAGGGGCCUGGCAGGGCGGGGGAGCGGCGGGGAGAGCCAAGUGGAUUCUCAGAAAAGGAGGGAAGCCGUGGAAGAGCGAAAGGUGAUUAGAGGGGGAUAUUGAUUCCUUAUUCUGCCAGAGAUUGAAGCAAGCAUGCGAGGAAUCUGCACCAUGGUUGGCAAAAGGAGACCCUGUAACCAGACACUCAGGCUUUCCAGGAGCCCAGGGAGAGAGCCGAGAAGAAAGGGGGCAGUGUGGUCUAGGAAAAUUCAACUUGUCGCUGAUUUGUGCCUGAUGCUUGCUGUCCGUCAGCAGCCUCCCUUACAAUCUUUUUUUCUCUCUCUCCCUUUUUUUCUUGCCUUCUCCUUCUUCACUGAAGCCUAGGGGAGCCAGCAAAGAUUAAAUGUGCUUUCUCAAAGGCAGCCACUUCAUGCUGCUAUGUCGAAAGGGCCAUUAUUAUUAUUAUUUUUAAUAGUAAAAGAAAACGGGAGAGAGAGACUGAGACAGAGAGAGAAGCAAGGUAGGCUGAUGACGGACUAGCUUUUCUGGGAGGAAAAGGAAAGUGAGGGAGAAAGGAGAAACCCUGAACUGAAUCGGACGAUCGUGCCUGAGAAGAACCUCCAGAGCAUAAACUACAGAGUCACAGUCUCUAGAUUUGGUGUAGGCUUCCUGCCCCCGCCUCCCCUCCCCGCCCCGUGGUCGGUCCUCUAUUGAAACACCUCGCCCAGGCUAGCGCACUGCGAGCUCGCAUUUCCCCCCCUUGCUCGGAAUGGUGUCACGGGAGGCUGCAGCCCCGCUCCGCUUCCGAAGGGUCAUUUACACACUAACAUCAACUUCCCUUUUGGUGUCUCGACAUGGUGUUCCAUUGGACUGAAGACCCCCUCCCCACCAAGGAGCUGGAAAAACCCAGGCAGUGAAACAGUGAGUUGAUUGGUCAGCCUGGUGCUUGGCACUUGCUAUAUGCCCAGUAGGUGAAGAGGCUCUUGAUGCAAAUUUGGAGAAUCAUUACCGUCAGAUCACAGAAGGACCCUGAGCCAGGCUACACAAGGGUCCCAAUUUAUGCUUAUACUUUGGGGAGACAGAAAGGAUUUCAAGGGAGGCUCAUGUUGAGAUGAUACAAGAUAUUACUCAUUCCAAUUAAGUAGGCAGAGGCCCCAAAGAAGCCUGAUUUGUUAAACAUUGAACUCACAAUAGACACCGAGAUACGGUGGUUCAUAUUUUUCUACUACUUAUCCUGCAAAAUAUAUUUUAAUGAUGGGGCCCAUGUUAAUAAAAGGGGCAUUUUGCAUGGGCUGUAUCUAUACACCCCCAAAGCAAUGCAUUGCUUUACCUUUCAUUUGCUCAUGUAUACAAGGACUUUCCAUUAUGACACUACCCACAGGGGUCACCACAAAAUUGUGCACAGCGUCCUUCCUGACUCCAAGAACAGUAUGAUUUAUUCACAAAUGAGUCUUACCCAUGUGUAUAAAGAGCUCCACGCCCCACCUUCCCAAUCCAUGUUCACAAAAUAUGGUUCUAAAAUCUGUAAGGUACAUUUUUAAUUUCUCACCCAGGAUCAAGUGUCGCACGCUCGAUCAGAACAGAAAAAUACCCGUUAACCAUAUGUAACACUGGGCUAUUGAUUAGGUUUUAGAAAACAAAUACACCUGCCAUCCAGAGACCCAUCUUCAAUAUAUUCCAAGUGUUUAGGGCAGAUCUGUGAUAUGGGGUAGUAUAUCCUUUUGGCUGUGCAUAACUCAUUAUGCUUCUUCAUUGUGCUGGCAUAAUGAAGAGGCUGACAAUAAAGGCUUUAGUUAAAUUAAAAUCCACCAGCAAAGUAUAUCUCAUUCAUAACAACUUCCGUAGAAUAAAAGAAACAUUAAUACAGCUCUCUCCAAAUAUCCUUUUCUGCACAAUGAGUGGGUUGGAUUAGUUGGUCUCUAAAUGUUUUUACAGCUUUAAGAAUUUUUGAAGCUACUCUCAAAUACAGAAAUAGAAGAACAACUCCAAGACCCUUGAAUCCAAAGUCCGUUUGUACCAACAGUUGUCUUUCAAGGUUAUAUUUGAUUCCACCUCCAGGUGCCUUAUUCACUAACGUAUUUUGCCUUGCUGCUAAAACAGUAAAGGAUGAAGUUCAUUUUCAGGAAGGGCAGUGACAAAAAAGAGGAACAGCUGAAGAAUGAAAAAAGCUACACAGUGGGAGAAGGAAAUUCUUGAUCUGACUUCUAAGCCCAUGUCCUUCAGCAUUAACGCAGAAGAAACCCAGACAAGCACCUGCCUUUCUAUUUUAAGACCAUAUUCUUUGGUCCUUCUGCCUUCAUUUAAUUUCUUACAGUGUGGUUUUGUUUUACCCCAUUGGGUUGACGCCUUUGAGUUCCACGUUUCCCUUUCCACUCGAUUCAUCUGAAUCAUGUUAAUAUUCCCUUCAAAACCCACAAUAGUCACAUUAACCCACCACGCUUCCCAAAUUAAAUCUUAACAUGCUCAAAACCUCCUGAAAAUUGCCCUGCCCUAUUUUCCAGAGCCACUCUGAACAUAUAAUCUCUCCUUGAACUAAGCAAGCCUGCUCUUCCUGGCUUCCAAGUCUCUGAAUGAGCUCGCCCCCUGCUUUCCUCCCUGCAUGCUCUGUCUCGGCCACGUGUGCAUUUCAGAAACCUUUCUCUUCUCUCUUGCUUUCUUUCCUUCCUUCCACCUGCAUUCUGUCUUCCUUCUUCCCUUCCUUCCUUCUUUCCUUAUUCCACUUCUCUCUUCCUCCCUCCCUUUUGUUCUUCCUUCCCUUCUUUCUUCCACGGAGCACAAUAGGUCAUGCUCUGAGCCAGGCACUAGACCUAUAAAGCCAGAUACAAGAAACUGACAUUAAUUCCCAACAAUUCCAGUGACUUCACUCGCCUCUGCAUUGCUAAGCCCUUCUGUCCCCACAAUCAUUUUAUUUUGCUUUUAGUCUUCGGAGUUCUUUGAAUUUGUCCUUAAUGUCCUGCGUUCUUUUGUCGUUCUUCCUCCAUGUCCUAUUUCAGUAAGUUGUCUGUUGGAUAAACCUGAAGCUUUUCUUACGGAGCGUUUCCUCCCCGAGGGAUUAGCGUGGGGCGCUUGCACACUCAAGCAGUGUUUUGGCUUGACUGCUCCUCCAGCGACGUGAACAGUGAGAGAGCGCUACAUUUGUGUGGUGAUGUCGCAUUUCGUGUGUACUUAGAAAUAACAUGGCCCCCCGAGGAUCUUCAUGUUUAGUUAUUUCUACCAAAGAGUCAAUGUGAUAACUUUUCUGUGACAUGUUCUGUUAUUUUUUUAGUUGUGUUGACGUUCCUUUCAGCUGGUCCUAUAGCCCCCCUUCUCAGGAAGGUCUCCCAAGUGAAAGGACGUAAAUGGCACUGGACACAGCUACACUGGGGGAUGCUCAAGCCAACUAUGAAGUUGAAACAAAGGAAAUGAUCAUCUGAAGACACCUCUCCUGCUAAGCAUCACCCCCAAAGGAUGCAAUUUCAGGCAUUAGAACUCCCAGAAUACGAGGCAAUCUUUUCAAGAAACGGAAAAAACUUCACAGUGACAUCUAGAUUUCUAAAGAGCCAAGGACUUUCCCUUCCUCGUGUGUAUUCCUCUGUUAGUAUUUUAAUUCAGUGGGACAUUCAUUUCUAAAAUAUCUCCCCGGCAUGGAUAUGCUUAUUAAUGCACCAAUUUUUAAAAUAGAAAAUUGCACAAAUGUGUUCAUGUUUUAAGGAACAAAAUUAAUGCUCUAAGUAGGUUGGUUUCUAGCCCACACACGGUUUGAUCUGAAGAGUGACUUAAAGGAAUAUAAAGUAUUUUUGAAAUAACAAGGUAGUCAGAGGCAACCCAAAGGCUAAAAUAAUGGUGGAAACUCAUAAGGCAACUGAAAAAUGCCACCAUAUCCCACCUGACACCGACCAAUUAACUAUUCUUUUAAUCAAGCAAGAUAGGUUCCAAAGACACGGUCAUUGCUUCUAAAGAGUGUAAAUCUAGUUCUACAGGGAUACAUAAACUUUUGAAAAGAUCGUAACAAAUCAGGUCUAUAGAUGUUAAGACCACAACAAAACAAAAGAUAUAAAGAGCAAGCUUGGAGGAAGUCACCGUUAUCUGGCAAAACUAGUCUGUUUAGGGAACAGAGUUCCCAAAGGAGGAAAAUAAAAGAUGAACCUUAAAGAAUGUUGAAGAUUUAGGCGCACCUGUCUGGCUCAGUUGGUAGAGCGUGUGACUCUUAAUCUUAGGAUUGUGAGUUUAAGCCCCACAUUGGGCAUGGAGCCUAUUUACAAAAAAAAAAAAAAAAAAAGGAAGAAGAAGAAGAAUAUUAAAGAUUCAGAUAAAUGGAAAAGAAAGAGAAAAUAGAGUCCUUUAAAUGAAUGCAAUAUUGUGAGCAAAGCCAUAGAAGAAGGAAUCUAGGUGGUGAGUUUAGGGAAUUAUGACUAUACAUGUCUAGUUGACUUUCAGUGCCAGUGUAAAUAUGCAUACAGUAAGGACUUCACACCACACCUCCUCUCUCUCACCCUGGGUGUCACCUAGAAUCAUCAUCAGAUUUAUUUACCAUUAAAGCAAGUUUGGUGGCAAUAUGAGAACUUACGAUUUUUCUGUUAACUCAAUAAUACUUGGUAUUUUUGGAGUUCUUACUGUAUGUUAAGCAUUUUACAUAUGAACUCACUUAAGCCUGCAACUCAGAACAACCCUGCAAAAUAGGUAUUAUUAUCCUUGUUUAAAAGAUAAGGUUUAAGGAGGUCAAGUAACUGGCCAAAGUGCCAUAUACAGCGUUCUCAUUCAGAACUGUGAUUGCAAAACUCAUGAUCUAAAGCACUAAGUCACAAUAUUGGGAUCAAUGUUGCAAUAUUACCACUUGAAUAUUCCUUGAUCGUUUUUUAUGGUAAACAAAUAGCUACAUUAUUCAGUUAUCCCGUCGGUUUUUUUCAGUUUUCUGCUCAAAUCAUGUUAGAAUGAUGGAAAGAAUUUUCAUGAUAGAAAAUUGAAAGAAUUGGAAAAUAGAGCUUAUUGGCAUUUUUGGCUUUUGUUUUGGCUUUUACUGUUUUUUGCCAGAUGUUAAGUAAAUUGUUCACUGUGUUCUGCAGAAAAUCUCAAAUUCUUGAGAAUUAAAAAGGGGGGGCACUUAAAGGUCAUCUGUUGUGAUGUGCUUUUCUACAGAUGACAAAUCAAAGUUAGAGUGACUUACAGAAGAUCACGCAUUUGCGUUUGACAGGGCUAUGUCCAGAAACCAGGCUGCCCAGUUUCCUCUCAGAGGCUCUUAAAGUAUGCCACCCUGCCUAAAUGAAGGAUGAACUUGAAUUUGAUCAAGGAAAGCAUUCUCUCUGGGUGAUAAGGGAGCACCGCACUUAGUAGAUUAUUUCAAUUUUGCAUCUCUUUGGCUUCCCACCUCAACGUGAAAAAAAGCCAGUUAUGAACUAGCAUCUUUUGAUGUAGCAACUGUCAAUGAUCCAUCCCCAGAGAACAUUAAUGGCUCAAGUUAUGUGUAUAAUGUCUUCAAUGAUAUCCUUAAGUUAUUUGGAAUUCUUAGCUCACCUAAACAAACCAGAUCUUCGAAUGAGCAUUUUCUUACCCAAUUUCAUGCACAGUAUGUAUUCCUAAGUGCUUCUGCAUGAAUAUUUAUACGUGAUUGUUUCAAUAGUCCUUAUGUUUUUGAAAAAUAUCAAUGGUUAUUUGCUAUUUUAAUCCUCACUUAUCCUUGUAACUAACUCAAGGAUACUUCAGCCCUAAAAAGCUAGAAUUGAGGAAAUAUCACUCUUCUCUACCAGCUCUUUUGCAUUUAGUUGGCAUUUAGUAAUGAUUAAUAAAGUGGUCAGCUGAAUAACACAGAGGUUCAGUGGGUACUUCCAUCUUGAAGGGGUCAGUUAAGCUGGGUCUACUUAAGGACAAACAUCUAGGUGUUUGGAAGUACCUGCAUAUUUGACUGUUGUAAAUUUCCACAUCAGAAUCUGGCAUUGUCUGACAUAGACCUUGUGGCUCGGGUUGUCCUGUUUUCAAAAUGAUGAUUAUUGGCCGCAUCUCGCACAGUUCUCAUUAAGUGAGUUCAUAAAUAAGCAGGUUUGUUUGUUUGUUUGUUUGUUUGUUUGUUUGUUUUAAAGAGUAGCCAAGCACAAAAUGUGACUUUGUUGACAUUUUAUGAGACUUUGUCAUAUGUCCCUUGAAUCCCCAAUAAAAACAAUGUUGUAUCAACUGUGAA